rnacentral:rRNA from 1 species
GAUGAACGCUGGCGGCGUGCUUAGCACAUGCAAGUCGAACGAUGAAGCCCAGCUUGCUGGGUGGAUUAGUGGCGAACGGGUGAGUAACACGUGAGUAACCUGCCCUUAACUCUGGGAUAAGCCUGGGAAACUGGGUCUAAUACCGGAUAGGAGCGUCCACCGCAUGGUGGGUGUUGGAAAGAUUUAUCGGUUUUGGAUGGACUCGCGGCCUAUCAGCUUGUUGGUGAGGUAAUGGCUCACCAAGGCGACGACGGGUAGCCGGCCUGAGAGGGUGACCGGCCACACUGGGACUGAGACACGGCCCAGACUCCUACGGGAGGCAGCAGUGGGGAAUAUUGCACAAUGGGCGCAAGCCUGAUGCAGCGACGCCGCGUGAGGGAUGACGGCCUUCGGGUUGUAAACCUCUUUCAGUAGGGAAGAAGCGAAAGUGACGGUACCUGCAGAAGAAGCACCGGCUAACUACGUG